rnacentral:rRNA from 1 species
AUUGAACGCUGGCGGCAUGCCUUACACAUGCAAGUCGAACGGCAGCGGACCUUCGGGUGCCGGCGAGUGGCGAACGGGUGAGUAAUGCAUCGGAACGUACCUUUCAGUGGGGGAUAACGUAGCGAAAGUUACGCUAAUACCGCAUAUUCUGUGAGCAGGAAAGCAGGGGAUCGCAAGACCUUGCGCUGAUUGAGCGGCCGAUGUCAGAUUAGCUAGUUGGUGAGGUAAAGGCUCACCAAGGCGACGAUCUGUAGCGGGUCUGAGAGGAUGAUCCGCCACACUGGAACUGAGACACGGUCCAGACUCCUACGGGAGGCAGCAGUGGGGAAUUUUGGACAAUGGGGGCAACCCUGAUCCAGCCAUGCCGCGUGGGUGAAGAAGGCCCUCGGGUUGUAAAGCUCUUUCGGCCGGGAAGAAAUCGCACGGGCUAAUACCCUGUGUGGAUGACGGUACCGGAAUAAGAAGCACCGGCUAACUACGUGCCAGCCGCCGCUGUAAAAC